rnacentral:rRNA from 1 species
UUUAAUUCGAAGCAACGCGCAGAACCUUACCAGCGUUUGACAUGGUAGGACGGCUUCCAGAGAUGGAUUCCUUCCCUUACGGGACCUACACACAGGUGCUGCAUGGCUGUCGUCAGCUCGUGUCGUGAGAUGUUGGGUUAAGUCCCGCAACGAGCGCAACCCUCGCCUUUAGUUGCCAGCAUUUAGUUGGGCACUCUAGAGGAACUGCCGGUGAUAAGCCGGAGGAAGGUGGGGAUGACGUCAAGUCCUCAUGGCCCUUAUGGGUAGGGCUUCACACGUAAUACAAUGGUAGGUACAGAGGGCAGCCAACCCGCGAGGGGGAGCUAAUCCCAGAAAGCCUAUCGUAGUCCGGAUUGUAGUCUGCAACUCGACUACAUGAAGCCGGAAUCGCUAGUAAUCGCGGAUCAGCAUGUCGCGGUGAAUACGUUCCCGGGCCUUGUACACACCGCC